rnacentral:lncRNA from 1 species
GUGUGUGUGCACACCAAGGACGACACACACACACACACACUCUGACUCAGUCUGUGUUCCGUCAGUCGGAGUCCCAGAGCACCAGAAAAGAAGGAACGCUGCAGAAGAUCGGAGACUUCCUGCAGAGCUCCCCGACUCUGCUCAGCUCCAAAGCGAAGAAGAUGAUGAGUCUGGUGAGCGGCCGAGGAGAUCCAGACGCCACAGCCUCUUCCUCCUCCUCUUCCUCCCUCAGUCUCAGAGUGAAGAAGGGCAGAAGGAGGCUGUACAAGCCUGAGAUCUCCUCCCCCAUGGAGAUGCCCUCCCACCCUAUUAUCAGCAGGGAGCCGGAGGAGAAGGAGAGCGACCAUCAGAUCAUCAAGCGGCGCCUUCGCUCCCGGACGGCCAAAUGAAGCCCGUCUCGUCUUCACCGUCUGAAACGACGCUGCUCGCCCGGCUGCUCGUGCAGGUCAAGCUCCCCCACAGAGUUAGCUCCCGAUGCUAAGCUAAUGUCAUCUCCUGACAUCAUGAAGAAAAGAUUUUAGUUAAAAACGUAGUGUGUGUUUUAGUUCAAAACAUUUAUGUCUUAAACAUCGAUGACGGCAUUAUAUUGUAAUUCCACUUGGUGCCACCAGAUGGCGACCAGCGUCACUGUAAUCUCUUAAUGUUCACUGAUCACCUGGAUCAAAGUGGGAUUCUGUCUCUUUAAAUUCCACAGCACAGACUUGAUCCUGGUUUUUAUAUGUUGUAAUUAGAUUUUCUGGUCUUUGUGGGUUUUUUCUCUGGUCUUUCUACACUCCUGCUGCACUUUAACUCAGACGGCAUGUGACCUCGUUAGCUUCAUGCUAACAGCAUGCUAAUGGGACAUCUGGCUCCAAACCCAUGUUUGGCUUUUCUUCUUUUU